rnacentral:rRNA from 1 species
CCCUUAGAUGUUCUGGGCUGCACGCGCGCUACACUGAUGCGCUCAACGAGUUUACGACCUUGCCCGGAAGGGUUGGGUAAUCUUUUUAAAACGCAUCGUGAUGGGGAUAGAUUAUUGUAAUUAUUAAUCUUUAACGAGGAAUUCCUAGUAAGCGCGAGUCAUCAGCUCGUGCUGAUUACGUCCCUGCCCUUUGUACACACCGCCCGUCGCUCCUACCGAUUGAAUGAUCCGGUGAAUAAUUCGGACUGCAGCAGUGUUCAGUUCCUGAACGUUGCAGCGGAAAGUUUAGUGAACCUUAUCACUUAGAGGAAGGAGAAGUCGUAACA